CAGUCGCCACGGUAAUACGAAGGGUGCAAGCGUUAAUCGGAAUUACUGGGCGUAAAGCGUGCGUAGGCGGUGAGUUAAGUCUGCUGUGAAAUCCCCGGGCUCAACCUGGGAAUGGCAGUGGAUACUGGCUCGCUAGAGUGUGUCAGAGGAUGGUGGAAUUCCCGGUGUAGCGGUGAAAUGCGUAGAGAUCGGGAGGAACAUCAGUGGCGAAGGCGGCCAUCUGGGACAACACUGACGCUGAGGCACGAAAGCGUGGGGAGCAAACAGGAUUAGAUACCCCCGUAGUCCCUGUCUCUUAUAC
rnacentral:rRNA from 1 species